rnacentral:misc_RNA from 1 species
AGAUUUUCUAGGUGAAUCAUCAGUCUUUUUAGGAAAAAGAAGGUUCAGAAUUCAUUGCUAGAACGUCUUCACUAUUAUAGUUAGUGCCAUAUUGAAAAACAGAAAAAGUAACAGAACACACAAAUUCCUUAAAAGACUGAUGAUUCACCUAGAAAAUCUCCCCACCAAACCAUGAAUAGCACUAGUGUCGAGCAAAAACGUUUCAAUAUGGAUUCACUGAGAUUUUAGAAACAGGAAAGUACAGAAGAGGCUGUCAUCCGAGAGGCCACAAAGUACAUAAUAAAGUUGUUAAAAUCUCAACCAUGAGGCUGAUGAUUUUCACUCUUCCAUUGCAUCACCCCCUUCAAUAACUACCUCUUUAUCCUUCAAUGGCGUAAUCUUUGUUAUAAGGACCUCAGUUUUCUUUGGAAAAGUGUACCCUCUUGAACUGAUAUAGGUACGUGGAUUUGGUAACAUGUGGUUCCUCAGAUAUUCCUUAUGUCCCUUUGUUAUAACACAAACAUCAACAUUGCUUCCACUUCCUAAGUCAUUGAAUACACCAGAGCAUAUUGCUUCACAUACAAGCUUUAUACCUUCAUCCCUAUUCAAGCCUUCUCUGUACUUUGAUUCAAAAAUAGCCAUUGCAGCAAGAGAACCAGAACCCAUUGUAGCAAACGGCAAUGUGUCAGUUGAUCCAUGGGGAUAUAUAGUAUGUAAAUGAGGCCCAGUGCAAUCAACCCCACCAAGAACCAAAGCAGCUGAGACAUAACCUUGGUAGUUGAAAAGAUGCUUCUUAAGAAGAGU